UUUUUAUUUUUAUAUUUUUAAUCUUGAUUUUAUUUUUUAUGUUAUUUAAAUAACAUAAAAAAUAAAAUAUAUAUUGACAUGGAUUAAACAAAGAUAUAUAUUAUUUUAUGUUGUAUAAACAAAUUGGCAAAAUAGAGAUGGAAGAUAAAAAU
rnacentral:misc_RNA from 1 species